GCUCUCGGGUGACGAGUGGCGGACGGGUGAGUAAUGUCUGGGAAACUGCCUGAUGGAGGGGGAUAACUACUGGAAACGGUAGCUAAUACCGCAUAACGUCGCAAGACCAAAGAGGGGGACCUUCGGGCCUCUUGCCAUCAGAUGUGCCCAGAUGGGAUUAGCUAGUAGGUGGGGUAACGGCUCACCUAGGCGACGAUCCCUAGCUGGUCUGAGAGGAUGACCAGCCACACUGGAACUGAGACACGGUCCAGACUCCUACGGGAGGCAGCAGUGGGGAAUAUUGCACAAUGGGCGCAAGCCUGAUGCAGCCAUGCCGCGUGUAUGAAGAAGGCCUUCGGGUUGUAAAGUACUUUCAGCGGGGAGGAAGGCGAUAAGGUUAAUAACCUUGUCGAUUGACGUUACCCGCAGAAGAAGCACCGGCUAACUCCGUGCCAGCAGCCGCGGUAAUACGGAGGGUGCAAGCGUUAAUCGGAAUUACUGGGCGUAAAGCGCACGCAGGCGGUCUGUCAAGUCGGAUGUGAAAUCCCCGGGGCUCAACCUGGGAACUGCAUUCGAAACUGGCAGGCUAGAGUCUUGUAGAGGGGGGUAGAAUUCCAGGUGUAGCGGUGAAAUGCGUAGAGAUCUGGAGGAAUACCGGUGGCGAAGGCGGCCCCCUGGACAAAGACUGACGCUCAGGUGCGAAAGCGUGGGGAGCAAACAGGAUUAGAUACCCUGGUAGUCCACGCCGUAAACGAUGUCGACUUGGAGGUUGUGCCCUUGAGGCGUGGCUUCCGGAGCUAACGCGUUAAGUCGACCGCCUGGGGAGUACGGCCGCAAGGUUAAAACUCAAAUGAAUUGACGGGGGCCCGCACAAGCGGUGGAGCAUGUGGUUUAAUUCGAUGCAACGCGAAGAACCUUACCUACUCUUGACAUCCAGAGAACUUUCCAGAGAUGGAUUGGUGCCUUCGGGAACUCUGAGACAGGUGCUGCAUGGCUGUCGUCAGCUCGUGUUGUGAAAUGUUGGGUUAAGUCCCGCAACGAGCGCAACCCUUAUCCUUUGUUGCCAGCGGUUAGGCCGGGAACUCAAAGGARACUGCCAGUGAUAAACUGGAGGAAAAGGGKGGGGAUGACGUCAAGUCAUCAUGGCCCUUACGAGUAGGGCUACACACGUGCUACAAUGGCGCAUACAAAGAGAAGCGACCUCGCGAGAGCAAGCGGACCUCAUAAAGUGCGUCGUAGUCCGGAUUGGAGUCUGCAACUCGACUCCAUGAAGUCGGAAUCGCUAGUAAUCGUGGAUCAGAAUGCCACGGUGAAUAC
rnacentral:rRNA from 1 species